rnacentral:tRNA from 1 species
ACUAUUUUGGCAGAAAAGUGCAUUGAAUUUAGAAUUCAAUAAUGUAAUUAUUAUUACAAGUAGUA